UUUAUCUACAAUGGGUAUGGACUCCACAUUAUGGCCCAUGGUGUUAUCAAUAAAUCAUCCAAAGAUCUGAUCAUAUUUAUACAUUUGAAAUUUCCAGUAAAAUCUAUCAAAAGAUUCAACUGUAUCUUUUUCAAAGUUAUACAAUCAUCUACUUUCGUCAAUCUUUAUCUAAAUCGUACCACAACAACCCAAGAAGAAUUUAUCAUGUACAAGCGCUCCAAUGAAGAAUAAGCUAAUCAAUAUAAAACAAUCUUCUUAUUUCUUUACGAAGACGAUGAUAAUCGUAUUAUCCACAUCUUCUCAAAUAUCAAUGUGCCAUAUCUCACCUCCACUCGUAGUAGGAAUUAUGAUUAGCUCAUUGGUCCUUCUCGUGGUUUAAUUGCUUUAGUCAGUAACACUACCGUCGUCUUAUUUAAUCCAGCUACAAGAACUUACAAGGUUCUACCUCCUAGUCCUUUUGGUAGUCUACCAGGUUUUCGUUGUUGUAUUGAAGGUGUUGGCUUUGGGUUCGAUCAAAUUAAUAAUGAUUACAAGGUUAUUAAGAUUAUUGAAGUGUAUACGGAUCCAUCAUACAGAGAUACUGACGCGAGGAACAGAAAAAAUUGAGGUGUAUGAUGUGUGUAUCGAUACUUGGAGAGAAUCGAAUCAUGUAGAUCAACAGUUUCCUCGAUGUACUAUUUACCUUGUCAAAUAUUUUAUAAGGAUUCUUGUCAUUGGUUCUGCAAUUCUAAAUACAGAAGACAUUGUUUCAAUUCUCUGUUUUGAUAUCAAAACAAAGGUAUUUCUUGUCAUGAAAAUGCCUGAUAAUUAUUAUUUCUUUGGGAGAAUGUGUUAUGCUCUCUUGAUUUUAAGUGAGUAUCAAACAUUGAUUUCAUAUCCGGAUUCAAAAUCAGAUCUUGAUCCAAAACAAGAUUUGAUGGAUAUUUGGAUAAUGAGGGAAUAUGGUGUGUAGAAGUCUUGGUUUAAGAAACACACAAUUGGACGUCUUCCUAUUGAAUCUCCAUUAGGUGGUUGGAAGCAUAACUUAUUGAUUUUUCAGAGUACAACCGGUUAUCUGAUGUUCUAUGAUCUGAAUUCUGGAAAAACGCGGGAAUUUAGUUUAGGUGGUUCUCCGAGAAGCUUGAGAGUUUCUUCUUACCAGGAAAACUUGAAUUCUAUUUCGGGAGGAAGUGAACUUGGUAACCUAGUUCAAAAAUUCUAGAGAAGGUGUAGUUGAGUUUUGCCAAAUUCGCACAUUAUUAACAAUAUUCUGCCAUGCCAACUUCCUCGAAUACAUAUAUUGCUUUAUUUUCUAGAUAAUGUUGGAGUAAUUUUAUCGGGAAA